CAAUCCUGGUGGCGAGUGGCGAACGGGUGAGUAAYACAUCGGAACGUGCCCAGUAGUGGGGGAUAACCCGGCGAAAGCCGGACUAAUACCGCAUACGACCUACGGGUGAAAGCAGGGGAUCGCAAGACCUUGCGCUAUCGGAGCGGCCGAUGUCAGAUUAGCUUGUUGGCGGGGUAAAAGCCCACCAAGGCGACGAUCUGUAGCUGGUCUGAGAGGACGACCAGCCACACUGGGACUGAGACACGGCCCAGACUCCUACGGGAGGCAGCAGUGGGGAAUUUUGGACAAUGGGCGCAAGCCUGAUCCAGCCAUGCCGCGUGAGGGAAGAAGGCCUUCGGGUUGUAAACCGCUUUUGUCAGGAAGAAACGCUCCGGAUUAAUACCCCGGAUAUGACGGUACCUGAAAAUAAGCACCGGCUAACUACUGCCAGCAGCCGCGGUAAUACGUAGGGUGCGC
rnacentral:rRNA from 1 species